AAUAUUAAUUUCCUCCUCAUCUUGGACCUGUUGUGGGGGCAAAAUUCGGCGGCCACCCACAAAAGACUCAACAAGUGAUGUGAGAUCUGUAUAAAUAUUGUCUCCCUGCUGGUUGUCCUGGGCUAAAGAUGAAACAAGUCAAGGCAUUAUACCUUGAACAUCUGAUGGUUUGUUGCACCACUCUUGCUCUGCUCUUGCUCCCGACUGGAAGCUGCUGGACAAUGCUGAGAAUGCAAAAAAAUAUAAGUAAGGAAUAGGUAUCAUAUGGGACAAUAUUAUUAAGGGAC
ensembl:lncRNA